rnacentral:lncRNA from 1 species
AUAAAAGGCAUGAAUGAAAGGAAAUAUUACAAUCAAUUUUGCAGCCUUUUCAAUAUAGAAUCAAAAUAUAAUAAUAAAAACAAGCUAACAAGUUGGCUUGGAUUUCUAUUUAAAGCAAAAUAAUAACAACAUCAUAGCAGAGAAAUACACACUGCAACUUAGACUUGGUACAACAAAAGAAUAACAACAUCACAAUAGAGCAACAC